CCUCCUCCUCCUCCUCCAGGAGAAGCUGCAGUCGUCUGGAGCUCUUCAUCUCUUCCUUGACUACUAUCUGAAACACUGUGUAUAUAUUAAUGUUUCCGCCGUCGAUACAAUGACCGCAACACACCGGAGCAAAUGCGACAUGUUUGCUCUUAUCGUGAAGCUCGUGUUGACCUGCCACGACGAGUGACCUCUGCUCUCCUGUGGGCUGAAGGCUUCACCCCACGUCCUCUUGGACGGGGCCAACAGCAGGGUCGGACCUUUCAAUUGACUGAAAAACACGGCAGGACAAAAUCGUGCCGUCAAAUAUUUCAAUUUAUUGAUUACAUCCUGAAAAGGGAGCUGGGACUGGCUGUGUGGAUCGAUCGGAGGGAUUGAUCGUGUAGAGGAGCGCGGUUACCGUGAGAAAUGAAGGGGCACUGUUCACAGAUGACAGAGCGUCGGUAGAAAAUGUCUCAUGCGGAUGGCCGGACGAGGAACCCCUCGCAGAAGGGGGCGUGUCUGCUGGUGAGCCGUCACUUUGACCACGAGGAUCCGCUGAAGAUGCAUGAAUCAACCGUCACGAUCGGCUCUAUACCGUCAGACUCGUCUCAGAUGGCCUGUGGCCUCCAGGCAGAAUGGAAAACGCCACGUUGCAGCGCAGCUUUUCUUUCUCCUCCCUCCCUCCCUCCCUCUCUCCCUCCCUCCCUCCCUCCCUCCCUCUCUCCCUCCC